rnacentral:rRNA from 1 species
GAUGAACGCUGGCGGCGUGCCUAAUACAUGCAAGUCGAGCGAACGGACGAGAAGCUUGCUUCUCUGAUGUUAGCGGCGGACGGGUGAGUAACACGUGGAUAACCUACCUAUAAGACUGGGAUAACUUCGGGAAACCGGAGCUAAUACCGGAUAAUAUUUUGAACCGCAUGGUUCAAAAGUGAAAGACGGUCUUGCUGUCACUUAUAGAUGGAUCCGCGCUGCAUUAGCUAGUUGGUAAGGUAACGGCUUACCAAGGCAACGAUGCAUAGCCGACCUGAGAGGGUGAUCGGCCACACUGGAACUGAGACACGGUCCAGACUCCUACGGGAGGCAGCAGUAGGGAAUCUUCCGCAAUGGGCGAAAGCCUGACGGAGCAACGCCGCGUGAGUGAUGAAGGUCUUCGGAUCGUAAAACUCUGUUAUUAGGGAAGAACAUAUGUGUAAGUAACUGUGCACAUCUUGACGGUACCUAAUCAGAAAGCCACGGCUAACUACGUGCCAGCAGCCGCGGUAAUACGUAGGUGGCAAGCGUUAUCCGGAAUUAUUGGGCGUAAAGCGCGCGUAGGCGGUUUUUUAAGUCUGAUGUGAAAGCCCACGGCUCAACCGUGGAGGGUCAUUGGAAACUGGAAAACUUGAGUGCAGAAGAGGAAAGUGGAAUUCCAUGUGUAGCGGUGAAAUGCGCAGAGAUAUGGAGGAACACCAGUGGCGAAGGCGACUUUCUGGUCUGUAACUGACGCUGAUGUGCGAAAGCGUGGGGAUCAAACAGGAUUAGAUACCCUGGUAGUCCACGCCGUAAACGAUGAGUGCUAAGUGUUAGGGGGUUUCCGCCCCUUAGUGCUGCAGCUAACGCAUUAAGCACUCCGCCUGGGGAGUACGACCGCAAGGUUGAAACUCAAAGGAAUUGACGGGGACCCGCACAAGCGGUGGAGCAUGUGGUUUAAUUCGAAGCAACGCGAAGAACCUUACCAAAUCUUGACAUCCUUUGACAACUCUAGAGAUAGAGCUUUCCCCUUCGGGGGACAAAGUGACAGGUGGUGCAUGGUUGUCGUCAGCUCGUGUCGUGAGAUGUUGGGUUAAGUCCCGCAACGAGCGCAACCCUUAAGCUUAGCUGCCAUCAUUAAGUUGGGCACUCUAAGUUGACUGCCGGUGACAAACCGGAGGAAGGUGGGGAUGACGUCAAAUCAUCAUGCCCCUUAUGAUUUGGGCUACACACGUGCUACAAUGGACAAUACAAAGGGCAGCGAAACCGUGAGGUCAAGCAAAUCCCAUAAAGUUGUUCUCAGUUCGGAUUGUAGUCUGCAACUCGACUACAUGAAGCUGGAAUCGCUAGUAAUCGUAGAUCAGCAUGCUACGGUGAAUACGUUCCCGGGUCU